AUUGAACGCUGGCGGCAGGCCUAACACAUGCAAGUCGAACGAGUGGCGGACGGGUGAGUAAUGUCUGGGAAACUGCCCGAUGGAGGGGGAUAACUACUGGAAACGGUAGCUAAUACCGCAUACCAUCGGAUGUGCCCAGAUGGGAUUAGCUUGUAGGUGAGGUAACGGCUCACCUAGGCUACGAUCCCUAGCUGGUCUGAGAGGAUGACCAGCCACACGGGAACUGAGACAGGUUCCAGACUCCGACGUGAGGCAGAGGUGGGGAGUAUUGCAAAAUGGGCGCAAGCCUGCGGCAGCCAGGCCGCGUGUAUGAGGAAGGCUUUCGGGUUGUAAAGUACUUUCGGCGGAACGGCGUUACCCGCAGAAGAAGCGCCGGCUAACUCCGUGCCAGCCGCCGCGGUAAUUC
rnacentral:rRNA from 1 species